GCUAUCAUGUCUGUCCCUCUAUAAUUCCGAAAAGGAUAUGAAUGGAAAAAUCACACAUGUUAUAUGAACUUUCAUAACAAAUAUUACUUACAGAGUCAAGACAAGCCGGUAAAUGUAACAUCAAAUGUGUGUGGAUUUGUAAAGUAUUUCCAGCAUUUAUCCUAUAAUUCUUGGCAUUCCUUUUCAAGGAUCGCUUUCAUUUAUUCCUUCAUUCCAAACUCUCGUCACAUUCCUUUCAUGCUCUUCAUGUUGGAAAAUAUGGAGGAGAAAUGGAGUAGAGACAAGAAUAAUAUCACAAUAAUGCAACAACAAAAAUAAUUAACACCAGAAAUUUGAUAAGAACAAGAUCGAAGACUUGAACGCGUAAUCGCCGUCCUCAAACUAUAUUUGUCUCCUCUUGGGAUUGAUUGAGAUGCUUAAGAUUUUGGCAAACAGUUCGUAUGAUUAUAUUAAGCCUUGAAAAAAGAUCUAGCACUAAAGCACAAAUGUGACCCUCCAAAACUUUAAGAACACAAGGACGAAAAGAGUAUGAAUGUAAAUCAAGAAUUUGAUAUUGGAAUGAAUAUGGAUCACAAAUAUUUCUUACUUGUUUUUGGCUUGAGAUGCAUCAUCUGUAUAUAGGCCACCACCAAUGUGCAUGAAUUGAUGCCAAAAUAUGUUGAAAAGCCACCACAAUUCGAAGUUGCAACAGUAGGAAAUCGACCUCCAACAGUUAAUUUUGUAUAACGAGCAAUUGCAGAGUAUAAAUCUAUGCGACAGCAUAGAACAACCCAAAGAGGCC
rnacentral:lncRNA from 1 species